UAAAUUUUGAAAAAGACCAUUUUGUACUUUAUGAGAUGUGGGCAAAAUAAACAAUGGCGGGUUAGAUCUUUUGUUCAGUGUAUUUCUAUCAGUUUGAACGACGGCAGUUGCAGUGAUUAUCCAGUUUCUUGAUAUUAUGUUAUUGUAUUUCAGAGAAAAUCACACACGCGAGAAUAGACUCGUGAUGGAAUAGCGCGCGUUUGUGACGGAGAAAAACGGUGAGCGGAAGCUGCUGAAGAUGGAGUUUACCUGACCAUUUUAUACAGGAUGCUUACCAGACGACAAUCUUAUAUCUGUAUAGUCAUACUUAUAAUGAUAUCUCGAAAUACAACAGAUAGCCUUAGAUGUAAAUGGUCAAACGAAAACUGUACCUCAGAUAAGCAGUGCUGUAGUGGACGUUGUGUAAAGCUACAUGAGGGCACUAACCCUCGUUGUGCAAGCUCGCCAAUGCAUUUACCGUGCUUCUUUAAUUACCAGUGCGAGGACGGGCUAGCUUGUGGUGAGCAUUAUACCUGCUGUGCCCCAUAUUGGGGCGUAUGUUCGGAUCAAAAUGACUGCUGUGAUGCAAACCACGUGUGUCGAGAGGAAGAUGGAUUUAUUUACAAUCGUUGUCUGGCACCAAGUAGUGCUCCUCGCAUGCCAGGAACCUCUGUAUUGCUCAUUUUGAUAGUUCAAGCUCAUUGUAUUAUGAACGUAUGGAACAACAUAUAUUUACAGUCAUGACGUAUGCAGGUCCACAUUGCCUUCUUAUAAUAUGCGAAAUAUGAAUAGCCUUCAGUUUAUUGCAUUACAUGAUGCAGGGGUCCAAGUAUUGGUUCAGUGUUCACUGACGCAUUUAUGUAGAUAUUCAUCAUAAAAUCACCAUGUGACACCUUGCUCAACAUGAUCAAUCAUCAGCAUUUGUGUUAAAAAGGUGUUAUCGACUAGAUUAUUCGUAGGCCAUAAGUCUUAGCUUAUCAUAGUGUAUAAUAGACAGUAGUAAACACUGGUCUGGUGUGUUAUUCCAGUAGUUUGGGUAUGAUGUACUGUCAUUCAAUUUUAUCAAUAACACUGUUACUAUUCAAAAAUACUUUUUAAGUAUCAUGGCAGAUUUUACACACGCGAUUUUUUUUCCGACUUUGGCGAAAAUUUAAUCAUAAAAUUUUUGAUAUGAUAUAGCUGAAAAAGCAUACAAAUAAAAAAUAGUUUGCCUAUGUAUACAUUUAGAUUAGUUAAUAUUUUAAGUAAUUAGUCAAACACAGUUGUUUUCUUCAAGAUAAAUACAUGAGUAUGAAUAUCUGUUCGAAAUAAGAAUCUUUCUUUUUCAGAUGGAGAUUUCCUUGUGCUAAUGUUGUUCUUUUUUCGAGUAUUCAUCAACAUAUAACUUCUUUCACAUUACGAAUAUAUGUACUUCUGAAUAUUUGUUUUUAUGUUUAUUUAUUAAGGGUCGGUGUUAUUCAUUUUCGAUGUAAACUUUUUAUAUAAAGAAUCACAUAAAACUUGUAAUAAUUAUGUCUCGUCAUCAUAUAAGCAGCAUAAAAACACAGUUUGUUAUUUUGCCAACACUUUUCACUGUUGAUGAUAAAAAAAUCCGCGUAUAAAAAUAAAAGAUUC